CUUCCCAAGUGCUGGGAUUAAAGGCAUGUGCCACCAACGCCCGGCCCCACCUGCCUCCUUUAGACCCUAUUGCAGCCAGUGUUCUUACAUUUAUCUCCCCAGGAAAUCUGGGACUAAGACCUUGUUUGUCAAGUCAGGCCUGGCUCCCACUGGGCCAGCAAUGACCACCUUUGGCCAGGCUGGGAUUCAGGACCAGGAACACCUUGCCAAUGAAAAGGAGGCAGAGACCUAGUGUGAGGGGUCCUCCUGUGGGCAAGCACAGCUGUUGCUGGUCUCUACCUGCCUUCUGUCUUGCCCCACUGAUACUGUGUGCCUGUCUACCUCAAUCAGAGCAAUGGGAAGUUCCUGAUCCAUGAAGCCAUAAGCUCCCUGGAGCUCCGACCUUGAAAGACAAAUGAAGGACUCAGUGCAUACUGUCUUAGGCAGUGGGUUGGGGCAGACUCCUCUAGGGCCCACCCUUGUCCCUACCUCAUUCCAAUGCUGAGCUGGUCUGGCCUGUGGAGAGCAGGAGGUUAUUAAUGGCUGGGAAGAGACCGCAGCUGGAAAUCCUCCCAGUGCCAGCUAAGUGCCUCACAGAAAACCCCAUUUGUGUAGGGCUCUGGGAACAAAAGCUCCACGUAAACAACUGUGGAGACUCUGGGUAACUCAAGGACCUCACAUUCAGACACCAGAGUUGUGAAACCUGAAUACCUGACUAGGUUAUUUAACCGUCUUCUGCGCUUGAUGGCAGUGGAAUGUGGACUUACCAAGCAUGAGUCAUCAGGAGCAGUACCUAGGAAAAUACCCAAGUCACCCCAAUUACACCAUUAUCAAUGGCUGCAUCGCCCUGCAACCCAACGCAAUGAAACUGGAGAGAAUGCCAGCUGGGCCGGGCCUAGAGGAAUCUGGCUCUUGGCGAAGAUUGCCUGCCUGGCAGAGGCCUCUGCAGUCAUGCCAAGCCACAAGCCCUGUGUGGUCGAUGUGCAGAGGUGUCAGGCCCAUUUUACAGUUAUGGAAACUAAGGCUCACCAGAGCUCAGGCCACUCUGGCAGCUCCAAUCAUAGAGGAGGGCCCAGAGGGAGAAAGGCUGUUUCAAGCAGUGGCUGCAAACACUGGGAUUGGAGAAGUAUCACCGGGAACUGCCAUCUUGGCUGCUGGAAUGACCAUCCAAGGAACAUCCAGUUUGUGUUGGCACAUGUCAUGAGCUGUGCAGGCAGCACUUCAAUAAUAGGUGCAAUUGCCUCUGCUUCGUAGAUGAUGAGAUGAAAAGAAUCCAUCACUGGCCAUGGUCAUGUGGUUGAAAGUGAAAAGCUGUGGAUUCCUUCAAGACUAACAUGGUUUGAUGAAGCAAGACCCCUGAGACAAUGCAGCCUCACAGACCACUACAAUCAGGAUUUGGCCAGGUUUAUGUUUUCUCAUGAUCCCCAUGACAUCGUUCCCAAACAGCAGAAAGUAGUUUGGGGAGAAUGACACCCAAAAUCCCCAAAAUUGUUUAUAAAUGUUUGUUUUCAUUUAAAUUUGUUUGGUUAUAAAUAAUUAAGGAUCACAACCAAAUUCUUUUUAAAGAAAAAAAGGGGAAUAUGAUAUAGAAAUGAAUACUUUGUAUUGGUAUGGAUUUUGAUUUAUUGAUACAAAUUUAGGGUCAAUUUUGUUAUAGUUAUAUUUCUAUUCUUAUUUAGGUAUUGUGUUUAUACAGCUCUCUCAAAAAUGUAAUAUAUAAUUAAAUACAGAUGAUAGUCACCUAUAAUAGUAAAAACUUAGGUUAGUUAGGUUUUCUAGAUAUACAGAGAUAUAUUUGAGAUAGAGAGUCUUCAAACCUUUCAAAGACCUUCAGAAUAUGGCAUCAAAAAUGGUUUUUCAUGACUUGAGACACAAUUGCUUCUGCCAACACCAAUUACUUCAGAGAGGAAGACGGAUAUCAAAGAAACUCGUUAUGGAGUUAUGGAGUUUGCCUUGACAUGGCAGAAAUAGCCUUUUGAGUAAGAAACUGCUCUUGCCUGGACUGUUUGACUGUAUGCUGUAUAAGGUGGACAUGCAGGACCAACAGGGAAGUGACUGCUGAACUUACAAAACAAGAUAGGACAGUCCUGCAGGUUUCCUGCUUCAUGGAAGAGUCUGCCAGACAUUCUACAGGACACAGAAAAAUGACUGACAAACUGCCAACGCAGGCGGACAGUUUAAAAUUUCUUGCUUCAAUGAAAAAUCUGUCAGACACACUGUGGCCUAUGGGCCAAAGAUGAAUGCCCCAACAUUACAGAGGAACUUCAGGUGACUGUCCAGUCAGUGAGAUGUCUCUGUUAAUUCUAGAGUUUAUAUAUUAUCCUUCUGUGGAUUUUGAUGGAGUUGAAGAUAGUUAGUUAUGGUUAUGGUUUUCCUUAGUUAUGAUAAAAGAUAAGUUACAUAAAAGACUUUAGACUCACAAAGAUAGGAUAGAUGAUAAAAUAUUUUCUUUAAAUGUUAAUGGACUAAAUAUUGUAACUAUAGUUCUUAUUUGAUAACUGUUUUGCUAUAUAUAAUUUUACUAUGGUAAAGUUAAAACCUUUUUAUUUAGACAGAAAAGAGGAGAUGAUGGGUUUGUCCUUCUGUAUAUGUUUAUCUUAUUGGUUGAUGAAUAACACACUGUGGCCAAUAGGGCAGCAAGACAGGCAGGCCUAGGACAUGAGAAGAAUUCUGGGAGGAGUAGUCAUGUGAUCCCUGGUUGAGAGGACCAGAGUCAGGUGUUCUCCGGUAAGAUAAGACCAUUAGUAGUUAUGGGUUGUUAAGUAAGACAGAGCUAGCCAAUAAAAGCCUAAGCCAUCAGUCAGCAGUUUCAUAACCAAUAUAAGUCUUUGUGUUCACUUGGGGCUGACACAGCUGUGGGACCAGGUUGGCAGGAAGAACCAUCAGUAACAGACAGGUCUCACUAUGUAGUCAGCCCCAGCUUGCCUCUAACUUUCAAUAUGGAUCAUGUUGGCCUUGAACUCAUGGAGAUAUAUUUGCCUCUCUGUUUUGGAAUAUUAUUUUAACUAUGUAAAGGUGUGUUACAUUUGUUUUUGUUGCUUUUGUUAAUGAUGCAAAGACAUGUUACAUUUCUUUGAGAAAUAAAAUGAACCUGGGGUCAGGAGGCUGAGUUGGCAACCAGCUGGCAGGAAGUGGUGGGAAGGAACUAAGUGUAGAGAGGGUUCUUUAGUGGGGACUGAGCAGAAGGACGGCCCUUUUUUUUCAGGAGGAGCAAGAAAAGAAGGAGAGCACUCCAGGGUCCAGCCACCCAGCUACACAACCAGCCACGGAGUAAGAAAGAAAGAACAGAACAGAAUAGAAUAGAAUAGAAUAGAAUAGAAUAGAAUAGAAUAUAGAGAAAGGUAAAAGCCCUCAGGCAAAAGGUAGGCAGGAUAAUAUAAGCAAGCUAAGGCCCGGCAUUCACAAGAAAGAAUAAGUCUCUCUAUAUUUAUUUGGGAACUGGUGGCAGGUCUCCAAAGAAUAAAAAGAAAAAACAAACAAAAAACAAAUAACUAUACCUCUCUGCCUUCUGGGUGCUGGGAUUAAAGACAUGUAUCACUAUACUCAGCUGGAGACACCUCCGUCCUGCCAUAGACACACAGGGCUGGUUGUACCUUUACACUCCUACAUGGGAGGGUAGAUAUAAAUAGAAUGUUGAAUUAUAUCUGCACAUUUUUGGGUACUUGGAUUAUAAGUAAGAACCAUCUUUUGUUGGUUGUGUGCUAACACAAAAGU
rnacentral:lncRNA from 1 species